GAUUUAACGGCCGCGGUACCCUAACCGUGCGAAGGUAGCAUAAUCACUUGUUCUUUAAAUGAGGACCAGUAUCAACGGCAUCACGAGGAUCUUACUGUCUCCCCCCCCCAAUCAGUGAAACUGAUCCCCCCGUGAAGAAGCGGGGAUAUCUAUAUAAGACGAGAAGACCCCAUGGAGCUUUAAACCCGAUGACACCCACCUACUUCAUGCCCUUGCACUUUUGGCCCCUGUUCACUCGGUUUUAGGUUGGGGUGACCGCGGAGUAUAAAAUAACCUCCAUGAAAAAAGGAAAAAUAACCCUCAUCAGAGAACAACACUUCCAUGAACUAAAAAAUUAAUUUUUAAUGAUCCGAUACCCGAUAUUCGAUCAACGAACCAAGUUACCCUGGGGAUAACAGCGCAAUCCACCUCAAGAGCUCCUAUCGACAGGUGGGUUUACGACCUCGAUGUUGGAUCAGGGUACCCCAGUGGUGCAGCAGCUACUAAAGGUUCGUUUGUUCAACGAUUAAAACCCUA
rnacentral:rRNA from 1 species